CAGUAGCCACGGGAAUACGAAGGGUGCAAGCGUUACUCGGAAUUACUGGGCGUAAAGCGUGCGUAGGUGGUGGUUUAAGUCCGUUGUGAAAGCCCUGGGCUCAACCUGGGAAUUGCAGUGGAUACUGGGUCACUAGAGUGUGGUAGAGGAUAGAGGAAUUUCCGGUGUAACAGUGAAAUGCGUAGAGAUCGGAAGGAACAUCUGUGGCGAAGGCGACUAUCUGGGCCAACACUGACACUGAGGCACGAAAGCGUGGGGAGCAAACAGGAUUAGAUACCCGCGUAGUCCCUGUCUCUUAUAC
rnacentral:rRNA from 1 species